rnacentral:rRNA from 1 species
CCUACGGGAGGCAGCAGUAAGGAAUAUUGGUCAAUGGGCGGAAGCCUGAACCAGCCAUGCCGCGUGCAGGAAGACGGCCCUACGGGUUGUAAACUGCUUUUGCAGGGGAAUAAACCCCGGUACGUGUACCGGGCUGAAUGUACUCUGAGAAUAAGGAUCGGCUAACUCCGUGCCAGCAGCCGCGGUAAUACGGAGGAUCCAAGCGUUAUCCGGAUUUAUUGGGUUUAAACGGGUGCGUAGGCGGCCUAUUAAGUCAGGGGUGAAAGACGGUAGCUUAACUAUCGCAGUGCCUUUGAUACUGAUGGGCUUGAAUGGACUAGAGGUAGGCGGAAUGUGACAAGUAGCGGUGAAAUGCAUAGAUAUGUCACAGAACACCAAUUGCGAAGGCAGCUUACUAUGGUUUAAUUGACGCUGAGGCACGAAAGCGUGGGGAUCAAACAGGAUUAGAUACCCUGGUAGUCCACGCCCUAAACGAUGAACACUCGAUGUUAGCGAUAUACCAGUUAGCGUCUAAGCGAAAGCGUUAAGUGUUCCACGNGGAGUACGCCGCGAGAGACGACAAGAGUAG